rnacentral:miRNA from 1 species
CGAAGGGCAGACCAGUAAGACCAC